rnacentral:tRNA from 1 species
AAGGUUUUAAGUUAACUUAAACUAAUAGUCUUCAAAAUUAUAUAUAAAGAGAAAUAUUCCUUUAAGCCUUA